rnacentral:rRNA from 1 species
UACGUAGGGGGCUAGCGUUGUCCGGAUUUAUUGGGCGUAAAGAGCGUGUAGGCGGCCAAGUAGGUCCGGCGUGAAAACUCGAGGCUUAACCUCCAGACGUCGACGGAAACCGCGCGGCUAGAGUCCGGAAGAGGAGAGUGGAAUUCCUGGUGUAGCGGUGAAAUGCGCAGAUAUCAGGAAGAACACCAAUGGCGAAGGCAGCUCUCUGGGACGGUACUGACGCUGAGACGCGAAAAGCGUGGGGAGCGAACAGG